rnacentral:precursor_RNA from 1 species
AAUCUGCCAAUGGUUUUUUCACAUUUAUUUAAAAAAUGUGAAAUCUAGGGGCAGAUUAU